AGGAUUUCUACUCUGGAGGCCCUAUUUCUAGUCUGAAAGCUCUACAAGUCAAAGGGCAGAAAGGAAUCUUUCCUGUAAACAUCCGCUAGCCACUCCCGGAAAAGUGUAACAUCGUGGACCAUGGCCUUCAAAUGAUUGCCAAAUCUCAGGUUUUCCAGUUCCCUAGUUCGCAGAUUUUAUUCUAUGAGACAUGCUCCACCUGGGGAUCUCUGCAGCUGGCGGUCUAUGUGCCAGGCUCUAAGAACGCCAUGCAGCAGCAAAGACAUUCUCUUGUUGACUGUCUACAUUAUUUCUCUAGGACGUGAGUGGAGAUCCAAAGAGAAGUGGACCAGUAAAACUUUACACCAUAUUAUAUUGACAUAAUAAAAUUUAUUUUGUACAAUAUGCUAUUAAUUAUAUCACUUACCUACAUACCUCAUGCUCUUAUUCUUACAUAAGAGAAAAUUGCACUAUAUAUUCACAAAGUUAUCAUCACUUGUUCAAAAUUACUUGUUUCCCCCUUUUCCUUCCCGCUUACAAACUCCAUAAAUGACUCCUGCCCCAGCUUUGGUGCCCUAAGAAAUGUCUUCAGACUAUCUGCUGGUACUUGGCCUUCACCGGUCCUUGGCUGGGCUCUGAUUUUACAGUUUUGCUGUGACACCCUAACUCCCACCUCUGGCCUUUCCUAUGAUGUUGACAUUUUAGACUGAGCUUUUUAUGCAGAAUGGCUUGGGAUGAGAGGAAGUCCAGUGAACUGCUUGCCUGUUUUGGCCCUUGGGCCCCAGGCACCAGAUGGCAAACCUGCCCUCCCUGGCCCUGUCCACCUCGUGGAUUUUCUUCAGCUCUCUGUUAAGAAGCUUGUGGCAUUUAAUGGAAGACUUUCAGGCUUGGACUCCAUCUCCCAGUGGCCCCAGAAAGGCCUUCAGCACCUAGUGAGGAAAUAUCCAAGAUCCCACGGUAUUUUCUGUGCCACACCCUACCUCCUUCUAUGGCCCUAUGUUCGCCAGACGGAGAACCCAUCCACCCCGGCCUGGGAUACUCCUCUUGGGAAAAUUCACCAGCAGCAUCUUGAGUUUUCUUUCUCCUACAGGACUCACAAAAUUCCAGGCUGCAAGGAAGAAUCAUGUAGGGUUGAUGACAUGAUGGGAAUCCGUUUUUCUCUGCCCAAUAUCACUCUGCUCCCUUCUUUUGGUAGUGGCACUCCUAUUCUUUAGGGAACUGUUCCUUCGUUAUUUCUCUGUAUGGUUCUGGAAUAAGAACCACUCCUAAUGCCCUACCCAAUACCCAAGCCCCACAUGCAGAGCAGUCACCCAGCCUGGCCACUUAGAGUCAUUCCCCGUGAUUCUUUCUCUUCCAUCACUAAUAAUGGAGAUGUCAGAUGUGAUCCCAGAAUUCCUAGGAACCAUGUCCCCCAGAGUAUGAAGAAGAUUGAGAACAUGAACCUUAUAAGCAGAAAAAUAUCUUGAUUUUUCUUUGGGGACUCCCCCUUUAUAAUGAAUGCAGUCUUGGUUCAAUUGUUGGUUAAGAUUCCAACACUCACUUGCCCAAGAUAUGGGCAUAUGAUCCAAUAGAGGCCAAUUAGACUCUCUCCCAAGAGGCUUCCCUAGUGGCUCAGAUGGUAAAGAGUCUGCCUGCAAUGCGGGGGACCCAGGUUUGAUCCCUGGGCCAGGAAGAUCCCCUGGAGAAAGGAAUGGCAAUCCACCCCAGUUUUCCCGCCUAGGGAAUCCCCAUGGACAGAGGAGCCUGGCUAGCUGCAGUCCAUGGUGUCACAAAGAGUUGGACACAACUGAGUGACUAACAUUAGACUCUCUCCCAUGAAAUUUGAAUCUUGAGCUGUGUGACACAAGAAUUUAAAGUUUGGAGCUGAGUCAUCCUAGCAGAAAUACCCUGGAGAGACUGUCCAUUAGUUCCUAGAUCUAGAUCUCAAUUUGCACUGCUUCCUGUCUCCCAAAGACCCAAUUGUUCAACUUUUUCUUUAUUUCUGAGUUAUUUUAUAAUUUUUUAAUAAAUUUCCUUUUUACUUA